AUCCAACUGAUGAGUCCAAAAUAGAAUGAAACGCGUGUCUUGCAU
rnacentral:hammerhead_ribozyme from 1 species